rnacentral:rRNA from 9 species
CGUGCUACACAUGCAGUCGAACGAUGAACCACCUUCGGGUGGGGAUUAGUGGCGAACGGGUGAGUAACACGUGGGCAAUCUGCCCUGCACUCUGGGACAAGCCCUGGAAACGGGGUCUAAUACCGGAUACUGAGCCUCGCAGGCAUCUGCGGGGUUCGAAAGCUCCGGCGGUGCAGGAUGAGCCCGCGGCCUAUCAGCUUGUUGGUGAGGUAACGGCUCACCAAGGCGACGACGGGUAGCCGGCCUGAGAGGGCGACCGGCCACACUGGGACUGAGACACGGCCCAGACUCCUACGGGAGGCAGCAGUGGGGAAUAUUGCACAAUGGGCGAAAGCCUGAUGCAGCGACGCCGCGUGAGGGAUGACGGCCUUCGGGUUGUAAACCUCUUUCAGCAGGGAAGAAGCGAAAGUGACGGUACCUGCAGAAGAAGCGCCGGCUAACUACGUGCCAGCAGCCGCGGUAAUACGUAGGGCGCGAGCGUUGUCCGGAAUUAUUGGGCGUAAAGAGCUCGUAGGCGGCUUGUCGCGUCGGUUGUGAAAGCCCGGGGCUUAACCCCGGGUCUGCAGUCGAUACGGGCAGGCUAGAGUUCGGUAGGGGAGAUCGGAAUUCCUGGUGUAGCGGUGAAAUGCGCAGAUAUCAGGAGGAACACCGGUGGCGAAGGCGGAUCUCUGGGCCGAUACUGACGCUGAGGAGCGAAAGCGUGGGGAGCGAACAGGAUUAGAUACCCUGGUAGUCCACGCCGUAAACGGUGGGCACUAGGUGUGGGCGACAUUCCACGUCGUCCGUGCCGCAGCUAACG